rnacentral:rRNA from 1 species
CGGUGUUCAACUGGCGUGUCCGCGGGACGUCCUGCCGGUGGGCUUAGCCCGGCAAGGGCGGCCCAACUUCAAAUCCCAUCGCGGUGCUCUUCACUGAGUGUCGAGGUGGGCCGGCACGUUUACUUUGAACAAAUUAGAGUGCUUAAAGCAGGCUAAAACUUCGCCUGAAUACUGUGUGCAUGGAAUAAUGGAAUAGGACCUCGGUUCUAUUUUGUUGGUUUUCGGAACCCCGAGGUAAUGAUUAAUAGGAACGGAUGGGGGCAUUCGUAUUGCGACGUUAGAGGUGAAAUUCUUGGAUCGUCGCAAGACGGACAGAAGCGAAAGCAUUUGCCAAAAACGCUUUCAUUGAUCAAGAACGAAAGUUAGAGGUUCGAAGGCGAUCAGAUACCGCCCUAGUUCUAACCAUAAACGAUGCCAGCUAGCGAUCCGUCGACGUUCCUCCGAUGACUCGACGGGCAGCUUCCGGGAAACCAAAGCUUUUGGGUUCCGGGGGAAGUAUGGUUGCAAAGCUGAAACUUAAAGGAAUUGACGGAAGGGCACCACCAGGAGUGGAGCCUGCGGCUUAAUUUGACUCAACACGGGAAACCUCACCAGGCCCGGACACCGGAAGGAUUGACAGAUUGAGAGCUCUUUCUUGAUUCGGUGGGUGGUGGUGCAUGGCCGUUCUUAGUUGGUGGAGCGAUUUGUCUGGUUAAUUCCGAUAACGAACGAGACUCUAGCCUGCUAACUAGGCGUAUUUUCGACAUCUCAAAGGUCCGUCGUCCCGGCCCUCGGGUCGUGGGCGUGCGCGAUUUUUACUGUCGGCGUACUAUCAAUUCUUCUUAGAGGGACAGGUGGCUUCUAGCCGCACGAGAUUGAGCAAUAACAGGUCUGUGAUG